rnacentral:rRNA from 1 species
UACGUAGGGUGCAAGCGUUAAUCGGAAUUACUGGGCGUAAAGCGUGCGCAGGCGGUUGUGCAAGACCGAUGUGAAAUCCCCGGGCUUAACCUGGGAAUGGCAUUGGUGACUGCACGGCUAGAGUGUGUCAGAGGGGGGUAGAAUUCCACGUGUAGCAGUGAAAUGCGUAGAGAUGUUGAGGAAUACCGAUGGCGAAGGCAGCCCCCUGGGAUAACACUGACGCUCAUGCACGAAAGCGUGGGGAGCAAACAGG